UACGUAGGGUGCAAGCGUUGUCCGGAAUUAUUGGGCGUAAAGAGCUCGUAGGCGGUCUGUCACGUCGGCUGUGAAAACCCGGGGCUCAACCCCGGGCCUGCAGUCGAUACGGGCAGACUAGAGUGCGGUAGGGGAGACUGGAAUUCCUGGUGUAGCGGUGAGAUGCGCAGAUAUCAGGAGGAACACCGGUGGUGUAGACGGCUCUCUGGACCGUAACUGACGCUGAGGCACGAAAGCGUGGGUAGCAAACAGG
rnacentral:rRNA from 1 species